UGUAGGUGGAGUAAAUAGAAAAUGGUGAACCUUACAAAAAUGUUGAGGGGAGGAAAUUGAAAGGCCACAUAUCGUGAUGGUAGACCCAAACCCAUUUUCAGCCUCGAGGACCGUGACCAUAGUUUUCGCGCUCGGUGACAGCAUCACAAGCAGACAGCACGUGCUACUCGGGUCCACUCGUGCGUGGCCGGGGGCGACACGCGGAACGAGGCGAGCGGAGGGGGAUGUUAUGACUGAGCACGCCGAGACCAGUGUUAUGUCUGCACGAGAACGAACAUAUCUGCACGGGGGGGACUAGAAAUCCUCGCGGGAUAAAAUAUUUCCAGCUUCUCACCUUUUGUCGAUUCGCUUCCGUGAGCAGUCUGCGCAUGACCAUUGCUCUUAACAACAGAUCGCGUGAGAGCUGGAAGGAAACAGAUUGUGCCGACACAAACACUCACACCCACAUCCAGUCACCCCCUCCUCCUUCUCUACCUUCCUCACCCUCUCCAUCGCCACCAUCGCGUGCCGCGCACACGGACCGACAGCACGGCGGUGGUUGUUGUAGCUGUCUGCGAGAGGCGGCCUGCAGCGGGACGGGGCCCGCUGGCUGAGCGGUCGGGAUCAGACGCAGCCCGUAAGGCUCUCGUCUCCAAACAGAGAGAGAAAGAAGAAAAAAAGUGAAGGUCGCUGCUGCAGCGUCGACGACAACGUCGAAGGUUGGGGUCUGGCACCGGAUGUGAUUGUUGCCGGCGGUGGUGGUAGUGGUGGUGGUGGUGACACUGGUGGUGACGGCGGGUGGCUGACGUGUUGGAUGCUGGACCGAGCAGCGUGGGUUUUCGGGAGGCCGUAGGGCAACGUUGAUGGUGGUCAGCGGUCGGUGUCGUGGUUGUGGAUGUCGCUGCUGCUGCUGACGGCGCUGUUGCCGGUGGGGCUGACGCGGAUUGUGAAGGGAAAGUCGGCCACUGGGAUGGUGGUCUGCCGGCCGGUGCAGGAGGUGGAGUGAUGCGAGCGGCUGAGCAAUGAGUGUGCGACCCCAGUACAGGAAUCUAGGAAAGUCAGGAUUGAGAGUAUCAAAUAUUGGACUAGGAACAUGGGUUACUUUUGGAGGACAAGUGUCAGAUGAGGUGGCGGAGGAGCUGCUGACGCUGGCGUACGAGAGUGGGAUAAACUUCUUUGAUACAGCAGAGGUGUAUGCUGCCGGCAAGGCAGAAAUCGUUCUUGGCAAGAUAUUAAAGAAGAAAAACUGGAGGCGAUCCAGCUAUGUGGUGUCGACAAAGAUUUUCUGGGGUGGCAAAGCCGAGACUGAGAGAGGUCUGUCUAGGAAACAUAUCAUUGAAGGUCUGAAAGGCUCCCUGGAGAGACUGCAGCUGGACUAUGUAGACAUCAUCUUCGCCAACAAGUCUGACAACCACACGCCUAUGGAGGAAGUGGUGAGAGCCUUUACACACGUCAUCAACAUGGGGUGGGCCAUGUACUGGGGUACCUCCCGCUGGACACCCAUGGAGAUCAUGGAAGCAUACUCAGUGGCCCGUCAGUUCAACCUGAUCCCUCCCAGUGCCGAGCAGGCCGAGUAUCACCUGUUUCAGCGAGAAAAAGUGGAGAUCCAAAUGCCAGAGCUCUACAAUAAAAUUGGGCUGGGAACAGUGACCUGGUCCCCCCUAGCUUGCGGAAUACUGACAGGAAAAUACGAUGAUGGUGUGCCUAUCUACUCCAGGGCAGCUCUAAAGGGCUACACGUGGCUGAAGGACAAGAUACUCAGUGAGGAGGGGCGUCGCCAGCAGGCCAAGCUGAGGGAUGUGGCGGUCAUCGCCCAGCGUUUGGGCUGCUCCUUGGCGCAACUCUCCAUAGCAUGGUGUCUGAAGAACGAGCACGUGCACAACGUCCUCCUGGGCGCCUCCACGGUGGAGCAACUGUACGAAGACAUCCAGGCGUUACAGUUUGUUCCUAAACUGACUAGCGAAAGUUUGGCUGACUUGGAAGAUAUACUAGAUAACAAUCCUCAACCCAAAUCGCCCCAAGGGUCCACGAAACGCGGUUUUUCAUGUACCUGCCCAAGCUGACUGGUACAGUAAUGGCGGAGAUGGACAGAAUAUUGGGCAACCGACCAGUCGCCAAGCGCGAAUUGCUCAACAGCUGCUAGCCUUUUCUAGACCUUUCUGUCAAGAGUAUGACCACGAUGAAGUAGCUCACACAACCGGCGGGUAGGACGGUCAACUGUCUUCACCAUGGUAGUGGAGGAUGUAGCAUGGACAGCAACGCUCACCUUGGUGAUUUCUCUCAGAACAGUACAUUUACUCUGAAUGAACGGGUUUUUUUCUGAUACUAAGGUAGAACUUGAAGAAAACCUUGAGCGUGUUUUGCUUAGAUGGAUACUUGCCUUAGCUGCUUCAUUAACGCCCAUUGAGGGAGACUCUUGUAAGCUUAAAAAGUGUCUCGGAAAGACAGACAGAGGGAGAAAUAAUUCUCCAUGUCUCUUGGGACUGUCAGAUUUACUGGAAAAAAUAAAACCUAUCCUUUUGUCUUUUAAAAACAGAAGAGACACUCUACCUGAUGUGAUUGAUCUCUAUCGGUGUUAUUGACAGUGACUGUGUUGGUCCAACAUAGAGAAGUGCUUGUAUAUACUUUAAUAGCAAAACUUUUCGCCCGACAGCAUGUGGAAAUAAACUACCGACAUAUUUAUUCGACAGAUUGUUUUGCUCUGUGGCUUUCAUGGUAGCAUAAAUUAUUUUCUGUAUAUAAUGAAUGACUCGAUAAAAACAUUUACAAUCAUGGGUUGAUUUUUGUGUGCGCGGUCAGAACAGACAAGGACAUGCACCUAGCAUUUAUUUUGAAAUAAAAAAGGUCUUUCCAGUAUUUUGUCCUGGAAGUCAACUAAUAGUGAGAUUAUUAACAUGAACAGUGUUUUUUUUUAAAUUUGUUGUAAAGAAGUUGUUAAAAUCGUUUUGAAGUCAAGCGACAAUAUGGAACCUUUAAAGUGGUAUAUGUGAAGUAGUAUCAUAGGAAAAGUGUAUAUGUGCAUAUAACCACUAGGACACGUUAGAAUAACGGAAAUAAUGGUACAUUUUGGGAAAGAUAAUGAUUCAGACAGUUGUAGAUGUAACAAUCCAUUGUAUAUUUAGCAGGAACAUUGACACGGCAAAGCUAAACUUUAAGAUUUUUCCCUAAAAUUGUGGUCUACCUACAUGUUCCAGUCUCUUUCUCAAGGGGUGGAUCGGUCUGGAAAUUUUCUGAUCAUUGUUUUGUCCUUUCAUGCCUCUUUUUUUGUUCAACAUCUAUUCCCAGACUUGACUGCCUUCUUCCUUGGUUCAGUCAUCGGUUUGAUUAUAUUAGUAAUUGUAAAAGCUAGAUUGUCACAUGGUGUACAAAACCUGUGGUUAGUUUUUAAAGUAAAAUCUCUGUAAAUCACAUUCCAUAGUCCAUCUGUGUAAAUCUUUAUAUUUUAAAUGUUGUUGUUUUCUUUAACCCCUCCCCCCUAUCUCUCCGUUUAUUUCACAUUAGAGUGCAAUUUUUUGGUAAAAAAAAAAAACCUGCACAGAUUAUACAUGUACAUUUGUUUAUUGCAAGUGAGUGUGAUAGUUCAUUUGCUGUUGUUUACUUGCAAAAUGAUUUUACACGACGUAUGCACAGGUGGUUUGUUUAUUUAUUAAUCAAUUAAGAAAGUUAAAUUUGUUCAUGCUCUUGUUUACAAAAAUAUGCCUGUUUAACAAAGAAUAUACCAUAUACAGAAAGUUAAUUCAGUUGUCUUAUUGUUGUAUAAAAUUUUUAAGUAGGUGUAUUUUAUUUUCAGAGGAAAUGAGAAAAUAUAUUUAAAAUGUCACUUAGAGCAGCAAAUACGUUUCCCUUGUCUCUGUCUUAUUAUGUUUGAUAUGGAAUAAUAUUAGAGAUUACAUUUAGUGUUAAGACAACUGCUUAACAAGCUUGGAGUAUUUGUUUCUUCAUUGCCAGUCAUGUUGUUGAUCAUUUUCUGAUUUAAAGGAAGUAGCUAUGUGGUUCCAAAGUAAAUCUGAGAGCUUAGUAA
rnacentral:misc_RNA from 1 species